rnacentral:rRNA from 1 species
AGCGGGAAAAGCUCAAAUUUAAAAUCUGGCAGAUGCUUGUCUGUCCGAGUUGUAACCUAGAGAAGUGUAGCCUGUGCUGGACCGUGUACAAGUCUCCUGGAAUGGAGCAUCAUAGAGGGUGAGAAUCCCGUCUUUGACAUGGACUACCAGUGCACUGUGGUUGCACACUCAACGAGUCGAGUUGUUUGGGAAUGCAGCUCUAAAUGGGUGGUAAAUUCCAUCUAAAGCUAAAUAUUGGCGAGAGACCGAUAGCGAACAAGUACCGUGAGGGAAAGAUGAAAAGAACUUUGGAAAGAGAGUUAAACAGUAUGUGAAAUUGUUGAAAGGGAAACACUUGAAGUCAGCUGCAUUGGCUGGGGAUCAAGCCAGCUUAUUUGCUGGGUGUACUUCCUGGUUGAUGGGCCAACAUCAGUUUUGACCAUCAGAGAAAGGCAAAGGGAAUGUGGCACCUUUAUAGGUGUGUUAUAGCCCUUGGGUGNAUGUGGUGGNUGGGACUGAAGA